rnacentral:lncRNA from 1 species
GUCACCUUGGCUCCAAGCCCCACUCCACCAUGCUGCCUUUCUCUAAGAUUGAACCAGAACUCUACAACUCAGCAAAAAGGUUGAAAGUCUUCCCUAACAUAGUGUGUCCUCUUUCUCCCUGCCACACCAAGAGAAGCUAAAACCAGAAGAGGGAAGAAGAACAAAAGUGAAAGCAGAGGCCAGUUCUACUGUAGUCCUCCUCUCCAUAGAGGGUCCAGAGAGCCUAGGUCAGGCCUGAGCCUCUGAAGGGAAGGGGACCAGACUGGAGUUUAAAUCAAACUGGACUCCGUGUGUGCAUGUGUGUGAGCACAUUUGUAAAACUAUAACAUGAUGACUUUUCAGUGUAAAAAAUGGAACUGCAUGUCCCCUUCCAUGAAUGUAUCUUAUUCCUGUCUCUAUUAAUAUAGCAAAACUAUAAAAAGUGAGAUUAUAGCCUGAUGGUAUCUUGAUCUUAAAUCAUCUAUGUGGCUAAUCAUGAGGUUAAGGACUGUUAGAAAACCAAGAUGACUGUUGGAAUUUAAGCCCAAAAUUACUCCAGCUUUGCAGAUUGAGAUUUUUUUUUUUUUUUUGAGACAGAGCCUCGCUCUUGUCACCCAGACUGGAAUGCAAUGGUGCGAUCUCAGCUCACUGCAUCCUCUGCCUCCUGGGUUCAAGCCAUUCUCCUGCCUCAGCCUCCCGAGUAGCUGGGAUUACAGGUGGCUGCCACCAUGCCCAGCAAUUUUUGUAUUUUUAGUAGAGGCGGGGUUUC